rnacentral:rRNA from 1 species
AGCGAACGCUGGCGGCAGGCCUAACACAUGCAAGUCGAACGAAGCCUUCGGGCUUAGUGGCGGACGGGUGAGUAACACGUGGGAACGUACCUUUUGGUUCGGAAUAACGCAGAGAAAUUUGCGCUAAUACCGAAUGAGCCCUUCGGGGGAAAGAUUUAUCGCCGAAAGAUCGGCCCGCGUUGGAUUAGGUAGUUGGUGUGGUAAAGGCGCACCAAGCCUACGAUCCAUAGCUGGUCUGAGAGGAUGAUCAGCCACACUGGGACUGAGACACGGCCCAGACUCCUACGGGAGGCAGCAGUGGGGAAUCUUGCGCAAUGGGCGAAAGCCUGACGCAGCCAUGCCGCGUGAAUGAUGAAGGUCUUAGGAUUGUAGAGCUCUUUUGUCCGGGAAGAUAAUGACUGUACCGGAAGAAUAAGCCCCGGCUAACUUCGUGCCAGCCGCCGCAGUAAGAC